rnacentral:rRNA from 1 species
CCUACGUGCGGCAGCAGUGAGGAAUAUUGGUCAAUGGGCGCGAGCCUGAACCAGCCAAGUAGCGUGAAGGAUGACUGCCCUACGGGUUGUAAACUUCUUUUAUAAAGGAAUAAAGUGAGGCACGUGUGCCUUUUUGUAUGUACUUUAUGAAUAAGGAUCGGCUAACUCCUUGCCAGCAGCCGCGGUAAUACGGAGGAUCCGAGCGUUAUCCGGAUUUAUUGGGUUUAAAGGGAGCGUAGAUGGGUUGUUAAGUCAGUUGUGAAAGUUUGCGGCUCAACCGUAGAAUUGCAAUUGAUACUGGCAGUCUUGAGUACAGUUGAGGUAGGCGGAAUUCGUGGUGUAGCGGUGAAAUGCUUAGAUAUCACGAAGAACUCCGAUUGCGAAGGCAGCUUACUAAACUGCCACUGACAUUGAUGCUCGAAAGUGUGGGUAUCAAACAGGAUUAGAUACCCUAGUAGUC